ensembl:lncRNA novel transcript
UAAAAGCCAUCUGAUAUUUUACUGCAAGCAUGUGGCAGUGAAGACGACAAUGACUGCUAGUAUGGUUUGUGCCACUGCCUUGAUUUCCGCUCAGGCACCAGCAGUCUUACCCACCAUUGCUUUGGUGCAGUUGGUGGAGAUAUCAAUGGAUCAAAAGCGCAAGUAAUAUGACUCGGCUCCCUAUGCCCAGUAAAUAUAAAUUUUCAGAACUGUGAUCACAGCCCUGGCUAAAUAGUGCCCCUGGUCAAACCUUCGUAGGCAAAAUGUUUUCUCCAGCUUUCUGCUAGUUCUUAGAAGCCAGUGUGAAGGAAAAGGGAUGUCAUGAAGCAUCACUCUCCAAGCUGAUCAUCUAUUCCAUUGCCUUGAGAAUUAUGUAGAAUAAAAUCACUGUCUCCCUAAAU